CUGAACUCGAAUCCUUGUGUUUGGUUACAAGUGCCCUUACCCAAUGAACCAUCUCUCAUUGGCCCCAGACUGGGUUAGUUGAGCUCUCCAGUGAGCAGCUGGGCUCCAGGAACCCCUCCCAGGCUGUGGCAGGAGAUCGAGCAGCCCAGUCCUGUACAGACCUUGUGCAUGCGAUCACAAAUCCUGGGAGUUCACGAGAACAGCAGCCACGUCAUGCCUGGAAGUCAGCAGACAUGAGCAGGUUUUGAAAACAUACGGAAAAGGAAGCUUGUGAUCGACCUGAACCAUAACAUCAUCUGUGAAGCUCCUCCCUGGCAACUUCGUCCCUUCUGUGGGAACCACGCUGACCAAUUCAUGUCUCUGAAAUCCUGA